UUAGGAAGCCCGGUGUAGCCUGGAAGUCUAGGUUUAGGUAUAAGCGAGUGUGACUGUGUUCCGGUUACGCUCUCACGUUCGGAUCGGGGACUCUGGUCUCUGUAAUGGAAAAAGGUCGUGAAAAAAGGAAUCCCAACGUGACGAUCUACCUCCCAAAUCCGCAGGAACUCUUAGAACACAAGCGCGUCUCGCUGGUCUGCGUCGCUAGUAAUUUCUACCCAGAACAGGCGUUCAUCCGAUGGAAGGUGAACGGGAAGGAGAGGGAGUUUAUUGACCAAGCCAAGCCCAUUGCUGUAUCGGAUACCUUUUCAGUCAGUCGGCGGCUCAGCCUGACCAAGGAGGAAUAUUACAACCCCGAGAACACCUUCCGCUGCGAAUCCGGCUUCCAGGACGAGGAGAAUAAAGUGAUAUCCAAGGAGAUACGGGGGAGAACGGGUUGUAACGACUUUAAUGACAAAUACAGAAGGUUUGCAAAUAACGGCAAAUAUUCCUACACCCUGAUCCUGUGUAAGAGCGCGCUCUACGGAUUCAUAGUCGCUGCCGUGAUGUUAAGGAAGAAGAUGAUCAGAUCUUCUUACUGAACCCAUCACAGGACAUCGACCUGACGCAAGGAAACCUCUCGGCUCCUACAUACGCCAAACCCGACUUCCCGCCGAGCUGAACAGGCGCCGUGACCCCCGUGAAUGACGUCAAAGUCAGUACGCUUCAAGACAUAAUACUGCGAGAAAAGCCGCACGUCAAGGACGGAAGAGCGACUUUUUAAUAUUUAUGACCGCAUUCGCUUCGAUUCUCCAUGUCGAUUGGUUGCUUACUAGCCAAUAAAAUUACAUCGAAAAAAAAAACCC